AUAAUUUAAAUUAGGAUUCAAUCUUGAAAAAAAAAACAGAACACAGUUGAAAAAAAAGGAAAGGGAAAAGGCAUGUGUUCUUUAAAACACCUACUUGGGCCAAGUCCAAUAAGAAAUAACCCCAAGCCCAAGCCCUCGUUUUUCAUAUUAGACCCAAACCUGCCCCUAGAUCCGCGCGUUUUCCCCUUACUUUAUAAACUCUUUAUAACAUUUCUCCCCCAAAUCGAACCCUAAACCUAGAGACAAAUAAGCGGCGCCCAUCUGCAAACGUGUCUGCCUCGUCGAGCUCGCCAAAUUCGUUUGAGUUUUCAGACGAGUUCAUCUCUAACUAACCACAUGGUCCCCUCAUUUGUCUCUUUCCAACGUGGCAUAACCACCCCUGACAAAAUAUUUUUAGUUUCAUCCUAUUCCCACGCGCUUCGAUCUCUUGGGACGAAUCUCGAUGAACUGGGGCGAUUGGAUGAGAGAAAUCCACGCCUUCUUUGUCCGGGUUUUGUUAUUUGUGAAGAUUUUUGGUGGUUUUUUUUCUCUUUUUCGAACAAGGGAGGAGGAUUUUGAUUUUUUGGGGAGAAGGAUAGAGAUUCGAGAUAUCUUUAGACCUAUAUUAGAAGUGUUGAUAUUUUCAAAAAGGAGUUUUUUGACAGAGAGAAAUAUUAAAAGAACAAUAAAAAAACUAGGGUUUGAAAUUUCAUUCAGAUUUUUUUUCUAUCUUUAAUUGAAGAUUUAGAGAUGCAUACAUAAAGGUUGGAUGUUUUUUUUUUUUUGAUUUGGUUUUAACUGUUUUAAAGGGUCCAAAUAUAUAGUUGUCCGAUCUUUUCUUUGGUAUUGGGUUUUCUGGUUUAAAAAAUGGAAUGUGAUUGAAGGGUGUUGAUCUCCGCUGCAACUCAGUGUGCUAUGUUCGAUUCAGUGUUGGAUUUGCCGAUUGCUGUAACAAGUUAAAGCUUUUCUUGUUAAUUGAAGAGAGUUUUCUUUGAGGUGUUUUUGUUCUUAUUAUUGAACUGAGUUCGGGUAUUCAAAUAGCAGUCCAUAUUUCCCCUCAAUUUCUGUCUCUUUUGUUCUUUAUUCCUCUUCUGAAUGGUUUAAUUUGUUCACAUGUUGUUGUGCUUCAUUAGUGGCUCUGUGAUUGAUUCCUGAUCUUCUUUGUCCUUUAUUAUCCUAGUUUAGCUUGGGUUGGGACUUUCCAAUUUUAUUAUAUUAAGGUUCAGGUUCCCUUUUACCCUCUAUAAUAGAUUUAAUUUCUCCUCUAAAACAUAUGAGAUGUUAUGGAUUUUUGGUUGUGUUGUUAAUUUAAAAUCGUUUAAGGGAUCCACAAUGGAAUUGGCGUGUUAAAUAGAUUAAUGUUUUGCAUGGAUC
rnacentral:lncRNA from 1 species